UACGGAGGAUGCGAGCGUUAUCCGGAUUUAUUGGGUUUAAAGGGUGCGCAGGCGGUCUGUUAAGUCAGUUGUGAAAGUUUGCGGCUCAACCGUAAAAUUGCAGUUGAAACUGGCAGUCUUGAGUACAGUAGAGGUGGGCGGAAUUCGUGGUGUAGCGGUGAAAUGCUUAGAUAUCACGAAGAACUCCGAUUGCGAAGGCAGCAUACCGGCGCCCGACUGACGCUGAGGCACGAAAGCGUGGGGAUCGAACAGG
rnacentral:rRNA from 1 species